UACAGAGGGUGCGAGCGUUAAUCGGAAUUACUGGGCGUAAAGGGCGCGUAGGCGGCCAUCUAAGUCAGACGUGAAAUCCCCCGGCUUAACCUGGGAACUGCGUCUGAUACUGGAAGGCUUGAGUAUGGGAGAGGGAUGUAGAAUUCCAGGUGUAGCGGUGAAAUGCGUAGAUAUCUGGAGGAAUACCGGUGGCGAAGGCGGCAUCCUGGACCAUUACUGACGCUGAGGCGCGAAAGCUAGGGGAGCAAACGGG
rnacentral:rRNA from 1 species